AUGGGCCGGGCUGUCACAUACGUCGUGGUCGCUUGUCGCGGGCCGCCGCCCUACUUCGUUCGAUCGAUCAAUGGUAAACAGCUGACGUUGAUCGGCAAACCCAUUUACCUUUGGCUUUUAAAAAAAUGUAAAAAAAAUCAUGCAAUUUUAACAGUUGGAAAAAGCUUGGUCGAUUAUUUGGAAAAUUUGGAAAAAGUUCACUUAUUUGAAAAAACAUCACAAAAUUUGAAAAAAUCAUCAAUUCUUAAAAGAGAUUUCUAUGUUUGUGCCCCUGGUUCCUUAGUUGUGCUCAGUUUGCCCAAGCCAACUAAUUUUGCUCACUUUUCCCCUUCCCACCUGCUCACGGAAGGCCAAAUGGAGCAUUUUCAUUGGGUCAAGCUCGUUGACCAUUAG
rnacentral:rRNA from 1 species